UCCGUAGGCGGGCAAUUAAGUCAGAGGUGAAAUCCCACAGCUCAACUGUAGAACUGCCUUUGAUACUGGUUGUCUUGAGUUAUAGUGAAGUAGAUAGAAUAUGUAGUGUAGCGGUGAAAUGCAUAGAUAUUACAUAGAAUACCGAUUGCGAAGGCAGUCUACUAACUGUACACUGACGCUAAUGGACGAAAGCGUGGGGAGCGAACAGGAUUAGAUACCCUGGUAGUCC
rnacentral:rRNA from 1 species